UACGAAGGGGACUAGCGUUGUUCGGAAUCACUGGGCGUAAAGCGCACGUAGGCGGAUGUGUCAGUCAGGGGUGAAAUCCCGGGGCUCAACCUCGGAACUGCCUUUGAUACAGCACGUCUCGAGUCCGGAAGAGGUGGGUGGAAUUCCUAGUGUAGAGGUGAAAUUCGUAGAUAUUAGGAGGAACACCGGUGGCGAAGGCGGCUUUCUGGACGAUAACUGACGCUGAGACGCGAAAGCGUGGGAGCAAACAGG
rnacentral:rRNA from 1 species